UAGGGAAUCUUCGGCAAUGGACGAAAGUCUGACCGAGCAACGCCGCGUGAGUGAAGAAGGUUUUCGGAUCGUAAAACUCUGUUGUUAGAGAAGAACAAGGACGUUAGUAACUGAACGUCCCCUGACGGUAUCUAACCAGAAAGCCACGGCUAACUACGUGCCAGCAGCCGCGGUAAUACGUAGGUGGCAAGCGUUGUACGGAUUUAUUGGGCGUAAAGCGAGCGCAGGCGGUUUCUUCAGUCUGAUGUGAAAGCCCCCGGCUCAACCGGGGAGGGUGAUGGGAAACUGGGAGGCUUGAGUGCAGGAGGGGAGGGUGGAAUUCCAUGGGUAGCGGUGAAAUGCGUAGAUAUAUGGAGGAACACCAGUGGCGAAGGCGGCUCUCUGGUCUGUAACUGACGCUGAGGCUAGAAAGCGUGGGGAGCAAACAGG
rnacentral:rRNA from 1 species